rnacentral:misc_RNA from 1 species
AAGUCGUAACACGAUUUCCGUAGGUGAUCAUUAACACGUAUCUAAACGUUAAAACCCCCCCCUUGAACCUUCAUCCUGCUCUUGUAACCCGCGUAGUUCGCAAUCUCUGAUAAAUCAUAGCCCUGAAAGUUGUAGUGAUUCAGAGACCUAUGGCUACGUGCGAACAUUGGAACAGUUACAAUCGAGACGUAGUUCUAUAGGCAAUGUUUCCCCAAGCAGUCAGUGUCGGAAAGUGUCAUUGAUUGUGCAAGGAUAGCGCUUCUACGAUUCGUGCAGACCAUACACUCGGGCAGGAGCUUUGCCAAAGGGUCCCCAUGCCCCCUAAUAACCCACAGUUUAAUGUGAAGCUCAAUGUAAUACACAAUAGAUAUCUUGGUUCUC